UACGAAGGGGGCUAGCGUUGUUCGGAAUUACUGGGCGUAAAGCGCACGUAGGCGGACUAUUAAGUCAGGGGUGAAAUCCCGGGGCUCAACCCCGGAACUGCCUUUGAUACUGGUAGUCUCGAGUCCGGAAGAGGUGAGUGGAAUUCCGAGUGUAGAGGUGAAAUUCGUAGAUAUUCGGAGGAACACCGGUGGCGAAGGCGGCAUCCUGGACCGACACUGACGCUGAGGAGCGAAAGCCAGGGGAGCAAACGGG
rnacentral:rRNA from 1 species